rnacentral:rRNA from 1 species
UACGGAGGGUGCAAGCGUUAUCCGGAUUCACUGGGCUUAAAGGGCGCGUAGGCGGCCAGGUAAGUCAGUGGUGAAAUCUCUGGGCUUAACUCAGAAACUGCCGUUGAUACUAUUUGUCUUGAGUGUCAUGGAGGUAAGCGGAAUAUGUCAUGUAGCGGUGAAAUGCGCAGAUAUCAGGAGGAACACCAGUGGCGAAGGCGGUGCUCUGGGCCGGAACUGACGCUGAGGAGCGAAAGCGUGGGGAGCAAACAGG